rnacentral:rRNA from 1 species
AUUGAACGCUGGCGGAAUGCUUUACACAUGCAAGUCGAGCGGCAGCGCGGCCUUCGGGCUGGCGGCGAGCGGCGAACGGGUGAGUAAUGCAUCGGAACAUGCCCAGUCGUGGGGGAUAACACUUCGAAAGAAGUGCUAAUACCGCAUACGUCCUGAGGGGGAAAGCGGGGGAUCGCAAGACCUCGCGCGAUUGGAGUGGCCGAUGUCAGAUUAGCUAGUUGGUGGGGUAAAGGCCUACCAAGGCGACGAUCUGUAGCUGGUCUGAGAGGAUGAUCAGCCACACUGGGACUGAGACACGGCCCAGACUCCUACGGGAGGCAGCAGUGGGGAAUUUUGGACAAUGGGGGCAACCCUGAUCCAGCCAUUCCGCGUGAGUGAAGAAGGCCUUCGGGUUGUAAAGCUCUUUCGGCAGGAACGAAACGGUGGGCUCUAACAUAGUCCGCUAAUGACGGUACCUGAAGAAGAAGCGCCGGCUAACUACGUG